AACGAACGCUGGCGGCAUGCCUAACACAUGCAAGUCGAACGAGACCUUCGGGUCUAGUGGCGCACGGGUGCGUAACGCGUGGGAACCUGCCCUUAGGUUCGGAAUACCUCCCCGAAAGGGGUGCUAAUACCGGAUAAUUUCUUCGGACCAAAGAUUUAUCGCCUUUGGAUGGGCCCGCGUUGGAUUAGCUAGUUGGUAGGGUAAAAGCCUACCAAGGCGACGAUCCAUAGCUGGUCUGAGAGGAUGAUCAGCCACACUGGGACUGAGACACGGCCCAGACUACUACGGGAGGCAGCAGUGGGGAAUAUUGGAAAAUGGGCGAAAGGCUGAUCCAGCAAUGCCGCGUGAGUGAUGAAGGCCUUAGGGUUGUAAAGCUCUUUUACCCGGGAUGAUAAUGACAGUACCGGGAGAAUAAGCUCCGGCUAACUCCGUG
rnacentral:rRNA from 1 species